GAUGAACGCUGGCGGCGUGCCUAAUACAUGCAAGUCGAGCGAGCGGACGAGAAGCUUGCUUCUCUGAUGUUAGCGGCGGACGGGUGAGUAACACGUGGAUAACCUACCUAUAAGACUGGGAUAACUUCGGGAAACCGGAGCUAAUACCGGAUAAUAUUUUGAACCGCAUGGUUCAAAAGUGAAAGACGGUCUUGCUGUCACUUAUAGAUGGAUCCGCGCUGCAUUAGCUAGUUGGUAAGGUAACGGCUUACCAAGGCAACGAUGCAUAGCCGACCUGAGAGGGUGAUCGGCCACACUGGAGCUGAGCCACGGUCCAGACUCCUACGGGAGGCAGCAGUAGGGAAUCUUCCGCAGUGGGCGAAAGCCUGACGGAGCAACGCCGCGUGAGUGAUGAAGGUCUUCGGAUCGUAAAACUCUGUUAUUAGGGAAGAACAUAUGUGUAAGUAACUGUGCACAUCUUGACGGUACCUAAUCAGAAAGCCACGGCUAACUACGUG
rnacentral:rRNA from 1 species